GCACUUAGCAAUCAGCAGCAUCCAGAGCCAAGUCAGGGCAAAGGGUGGCCUAAGUUUCCUUCCGCAGUGGAUUCUUUUCCAGAUUCUCUACCUUCAUGGAUGACAGAAACAGGAUGUUUUCACUUACUUGACACAUCUGCCUUUCUUCCUGUCCUCCAUGCAUUUUUAUUGCCUUACUUUCCCCUCCUUUCCUCUCCUCCCCUCCCAUUCCCUUCCUCUCUCCCUUUCCCUCCUCCUCCACUUCUCUUCCCUUCCCCUCCCCUUUUCUUCCCCUCCACUUCCCUUUCCCCUUCCUCCCUCUCCUAUCUUUCCCUCUUCCAUUCCCUAUCUCUCCCCUUUCACUUCCCUUUCCCUCUCUCCUUCCUCCCUUCCCCUCCCUCCUCCAUUCCCCUUUACUUCCUCUCCCCUUCCUUCCUUUCUUCUUUUAAGACAGGAC
rnacentral:lncRNA from 1 species